UCUGACCUGUUCUUGUUGACGGGUACAGCUGGCACCUCUAAUAGUUUUCUGUUCAUGACCUGCAUCUGUUUCCUCCUGAUAACACAGGCAUGAAGAAGACAGAAACCUCCAGGACAAUUUAGCCUAGCCUGGUAUUUGCAUAUCUUUCCAUACGUGACUGUUACAAAGGGCUUCUGAGUAGUUAUAAACUUCUGCUGCACUUUUAUCAUAGCUGCAAGUGCAAGAUGUCAAGAAGCACCAUGACGUUAUGGGUGUAUUUCAUCUGGCUCCUCUUCUCCAUGGUGGAAGAAUCCAGCGGGGACAUCGUUAUAACACAGACACCGGCUUCUGUGACGGUGCUUCCAGGAGAGACGGUCACCAUCCAGUGCAAGGCCUCCAGCUCCAUGAGUGAUGAUAUGGCCUUGUUGCUGUUCAAAUCUGGACAAACUCCCAAGCUCCUCAUUCAUGAUGGAAACUACCGUUUCACUGGGGUCCCCGACCGGUUCAGUGGCAGCUACAGCGGCACCAACUUCACCUUCACCAUCGGCGGGGUGCAGGUGGAAGAUGCUGGUGACUACUACUGUGGGCAGGACUACACCACCCCUCUCACAGUGAUACACUGCAGUACAAAAACCUCCUUGAUGCCACAGCUUCCGGUGUGUGAAGCAGAAGGAAGCAGGGGAGGCUGCUUCUGACACAGCUGAUCUGGAACAUAAUGAAUGUUUUAGUGAAACCCAUUUCUCACACCCUCAUCACUCAAUUCACUGAUUUCAAACAUUGUUUUGACAAAAUUCCUUUCCGGUGGGAGAAUUGCCAGGGACAGACACUCUCUCAGGGCAGUGCCCGAGAUACACGUGUACAUAGUCAUUGCCACAGCCCCACAAUGUUCAGCGCAGCAAUACAUUUUU